rnacentral:rRNA from 1 species
UACAGAGGCCUCGAGCGUUAGGCGGAAUCACUGGGCUUAAAGCGUGUGUAGGCGGACUUCUAAGUACCUUGUGAAAUCCCACGGCUUACCCGUGGAACGGCUGGGUAUACUGGGAGUCUUGAGCCACCUAGGGGCGAGUGGAACAAAUGGUGGAGCGGUGAAAUGCGUAGAUAUCAUUUGGAACGCCAAUGGUGAAAACAACUCGCUGGGGGUGUGCUGACGCUGAGACGCGAAAGCGUGGGGAGCAAACAGG